rnacentral:rRNA from 1 species
GGCGGCAGGCCUCACACACACAAGUCGGACGGUAGCACAGAGAGCUUGUUCUUGGGUGACGAGUGGCGGACGGGUGAGUAAUGUCUGGGGAUCUGCCCGAUAGAGGGGGAUAACCACUGGAAACGGUGGCUAAUACCGCAUAACGUCGCAAGACCAAAGAGGGGGACCUUCGGGCCUCUCACUAUCGGAUGAACCCAGAUGGGAUUAGCUAGUAGGCGGGGUAAUGGCCCACCUAGGCGACGAUCCCUAGCUGGUCUGAGAGGAUGACCAGCCACACUGGAACUGAGACACGGUCC